rnacentral:rRNA from 1 species
GUGGGGAAUUUUGGACAAUGGGCGCAAGCCUGAUCCAGCAAUGCCGCGUGCAGGAAGAAGGCCUUCGGGUUGUAAACUGCUUUUGUACGGAACGAAACGGUCCUGGCUAAUAUCCGGGGCUAAUGACGGUACCGUAAGAAUAAGCACCGGCUAACUACGUGCCAGCAGCCGCGGUAAUACGUAGGGUGCGAGCGUUAAUCGGAAUUACUGGGCGUAAAGCGUGCGCAGGCGGUUUUGUAAGAUCGAUGUGAAAUCCCCGGGCUCAACCUGGGAACUGCAUUGGUGACUGCAAGGCUGGAGUGCGGCAGAGGGGGAUGGAAUUCCGCGUGUAGCAGUGAAAUGCGUAGAUAUGCGGAGGAACACCGAUGGCGAAGGCAAUCCCCUGGGCCUGCACUGACGCUCAUGCACGAAAGCGUGGGGAGCAAACAGGAUUAGAUACCCUGGUAGUCC